rnacentral:rRNA from 1 species
AUACGAAGGGGGCUAGCGUUGUUCGGAAUUACUGGGCGUAAAGCGCGCGUAGGCGGACUGAUCAGUUGGGGGUGAAAUCCCAGGGCUUAACCCUGGAACUGCCUCUAAUACUGCCAGUCUUGAGUUCGGGAGAGGUGAGUGGAAUUCCUAGUGUAGAGGUGAAAUUCGUAGAUAUUAGGAAGAACACCAGUGGCGAAGGCGGCUCACUGGCCCGAUACUGACGCUGAGGCGCGAAAGCGUGGGAGCAAACAGGAUUAGAUACCCUAGUAGUCC